rnacentral:rRNA from 1 species
ACUCCUACGGGAGGCAGCAGUGGGGAAUAUUGGACAAUGGGCGCAAGCCUGAUCCAGCCAUGCCGCGUGAGUGAUGAAGGCCCUAGGGUUGUAAAGCUCUUUCACCGGUGAAGAUAAUGACGGUAACCGGAGAAGAAGCCCCGGCUGACUUCGUGCCAGCAGCCGCGGUAAUACGAAGGGGGCUAGCGUUGUUCGGAUUUACUGGGCGUAAAGCGCACGUAGGCGGACUAUUAAGUCAGGGGUGAAAUCCCGGGGCUCAACCCCGGAACUGCCUUUGAUACUGGUAGUCUUGAGUUCGAGAGAGGUGAGUGGAAUUCCGAGUGUAGAGGUGAAAUUCGUAGAUAUUCGGAGGAACACCAGUGGCGAAGGCGGCUCACUGGCUCGAUACUGACGCUGAGGUGCGAAAGCGUGGGGAGCAAACAGGAUUAGAAACCCGAGUAGUCCCAUGAU